rnacentral:piRNA from 1 species
UUUCAUGAGCAUAUCUAUUCAACAGAGGGU